rnacentral:rRNA from 1 species
GGACGGGUGAGUAACGCGUGGGAAUCUGCCCUCAGGAGGGGGAUAACGACUGGAAACGGUCGCUAAUACCCCAUAUGCCGAGAGGUGAAAUGAAUUUCGCCUGAGGAUGAGCCCGCGUCUGAUUAGCUAGUUGGUGGGGUAAGAGCUCACCAAGGCGACGAUCAGUAGCUGGUCUGAGAGGAUGAUCAGCCACACUGGGACUGAGACACGGCCCAGACUCCUACGGGAGGCAGCAGUGGGGAAUUUUCCGCAAUGGGCGAAAGCCUGACGGAGCAACGCCGCGUGAGGGAUGAAGGCCUCUGGGCUGUAAACCUCUUUUCUCAAGGAAGAAGAUCUGACGGUACUUGAGGAAUAAGCCACGGCUAAUUCCGUGCCAGCAGCCGCGGUAAUACGGGAGUGGCAAGCGUUAUCCGGAAUCAUUGGGCGUAAAGCGUCCGCAGGUGGCUUUGUAAGUCUGCCGUUAAAGCGUGGAGCUUAACUCCAUUUCAGCGGUGGAAACUACAAGGCUUGAGUGUGGUAGGGGCAGAGGGAAUUCCCGGUGUAGCGGUGAAAUGCGUAGAUAUCGGGAAGAACACCAGUGGCGAAGGCGCUCUGCUGGGCCAUAACUGACACUCAUGGACGAAAGCCAGGGGAGCGAAAGGGAUUAGAUACCCCUGUAGUCCUGGCCGUAAACGAUGAACACUAGGCGUCGGGGGAAUCGACCCCCUCGGUGUCGUAGCCAACGCGUUAAGUGUUCCGCCUGGGGAGUACGCACGCAAGUGUGAAACUCAAAGGAAUUGACGGGGGCCCGCACAAGCGGUGGAGUAUGUGGUUUAAUUCGAUGCAACGCGAAGAACCUUACCAGGGUUUGACAUCCUGCGGACCCCUGAGAAAUCGGGGGGUGCCUUCGGGAACGCAGUGACAGGUGGUGCAUGGCUGUCGUCAGCUCGUGUCGUGAGAUGUUGGGUUAAGUCCCGCAACGAGCGCAACCCACGUCUUUAGUUGCCAGCAUUCAGUUGGGCACUCUAGAGAGACCGCCGGUGAUAAACCGGAGGAAGGUGUGGAUGACGUCAAGUCAUCAUGCCCCUUACAUCCUGGGCUACACACGUACUACAAUGCUACGGACAAAGGGCAGCGAACUCGCGAGAGCAAGCAAAUCCCAUAAACCGUGGCUCAGUUCAGAUCGUAGGCUGCAACUCGCCUACGUGAAGGAGGAAUCGCUAGUAAUCGCAGGUCAGCAUACUGCGGUGAAUACGUUCCCGGGCCUUGUACACACCGCCCGUCACACCAUGGAAGUUAGCCACGCCCGAAGUCGUUACUCCAACC